rnacentral:rRNA from 1 species
AGUGAACGCUGGCGGUAGGCCUAACACAUGCAAGUCGAACGGCAGCACAGGAGAGCUUGCUCUCUAGGUGGCGAGUGGCGGACGGGUGAGGAAUACAUCUGAAUCUGCCCAGUCGUGGGGGAUAACGUAGGGAAACUUACGCUAAUACCGCAUACAACCUUCGGGUGAAAGAGGGGGAUCGCAAGACCUCUCGCGAUUGGAUGAGCCGAUGUCGGAUUAGCUAGUUAGCGGGGUAAUGGCCCACCAAGGCGACGAUCCGUAGCUGGUCUGAGAGGAUGAUCAGCCACACUGGAACUGAGACACGGUCCAGACUCCUACGGGAGGCAGCAGUGGGGAAUAUUGGACAAUGGGCGCAAGCCUGAUCCAGCCAUACCGCGUGGGUGAAGAAGGCCUUCGGGUUGUAAAGCCCUUUUGUUGGGAAAGAAAUCUUUCAGGCUAAUACCCUGGGAGGAUGACGGUACCCAAAGAAUAAGCACCGGCUAACUUCGUG